AAUGUGUUGGUGGGCUCAUGCGGAAGAAGGUGUCCCUUAAGGUAGGUUGCUCCUAAGGGGCUUCCCAGCUUAAAACAGGUAUUGAAUGGAAAGUAGUAUAAGUCCAUGAAUACAUUCCAUAUUGCCCAGUAAUGUGGUAGGAAAAGACGACUGCCAUAUAUGUAUAUAUAUACACCUGUAAAUGGCAUAGAGUAUUCCCAGUUCAGAAGGCAUUUGCCAGCAGAAUGUCCAAAUCUGAAUGUGCCUUAACACUUUUGUAAAACCCUGUGCGCAUGUCUGGAUUUAGCAUCUCCAUCAGUCAGCUGGCCAGAGACUCUUCUUGUUCCCCCGAGGCUUUUGGGUUACCAUAGGAACACCUGGAACAACCCCCAAGCUGGUCCCCUGACAGGCCGCUUUUCUGGACUUUGCAGUCCAGCUCCUUGGUCAGCGAAGACCCCCCGGGCAGCAAAUGUCUUUCCAGCACAGGAGAGAGAAAGGGAAGCAAAUGGUGUGGAAAUGCGUAGCAAAUUGGGUUGCAAUGUAACACGGGCCUCUCCCUGCUGUGCUGUGCGAUUCCUCUUUGCCCUGGAGGCAGGGCAGGCAGAUGGGGAACCAAUCAUUCUGGAAAGGAGAAAACAAUAAUGGCCUUGCCAAACAUUUCUGGGGAGAAGAAACACCAGCUGAACCCAGAGCUUUUUAAAAUAUAUAUUUUUUAACCCAGAACUCUUCUAGCAUGUUCUGGUCUGUUUUGCUUGGGAAACGCUGCUUUAAAAAUGGGUCGUUGCUGUGCUGCGAGUUCUCUGCAGUGUGUAUCCUUCAGGGUUCUCUCAGUAACUUUGCAUAUGAUCCUUUUAGAGGAGGGAGGAAGCAGGACUUUCCAGGGUGCUAAUGCCUGGUGGGUUUUUGUGGUAUACAACACCUCGAACAGUGAGGGAAACGAGCUUCUUGACUAGCUAGUGGCAAGUGAGCUACAAAGGCUGAAUACCUAAAGAGCUACAGAAAAGAACCCCAAACCUGAUCAAUGAGGAGGGAAUCGUGGGAAUGUUCAGGGAUGCAGGAGAGGAUAUAUUGUUUGAUUAUAGCCUUUCCAACUUGUGUAAACAAGUUCACAAUUUAGCAGAGUAACAUUUCCCUUUUUAAACUCACAGCGGUUGCGUUUGCUCAGGCUCACUAAAGCCUCUAUAACAACUGUCCUGGUAUUUUCCCUUUUAUUCCCUUAUAAAAGAUAAGACACGACACAGUCUUCUAUAAAAGUAUAAAAGAGUUUACUCACUCACAUUCUGUUCACGGUCGGAUCCCAGAAGGCAGACUUAUCUUAGAAAAGUAACAUACACUUGGAAUCUAUCCCAUAAAGAGACAGUCCCUUUGUUCUCUCUUGGCUGGAGGCAAACAGAGCAUCUUUGGCUAAGCAGAUGUUGCUUCUUUGACGAAAGUAGUCAGAGAGAGAGAUGGCUGCCCUGCCCUGUGCUUUUGUCAUUACCUGCACAGGUGAGGCCACGUCCACCUCUUGUCACAUGUAGAUGAAGUCUGUCCCAGCCCAGAAGGAAACAGGAAGUUUACCUGCUGGCUGGACAAACAUUCCUCCUCGUGUGUAAAUAUGUUCACUCUAGGAAUGUUGUACUUGACUGCUCUUGUGUUUCAUACCCCACGGGAAUGCCCCACCUGUUCUGUCCCCACCCCUAUACAGAACCUUGGAAGGUUUUUAUUUGGUCCAAUGGUUGAUUGGCACAUGCCUAUGCCAAUAGAAUCAUAGAAAUGUAUGGCUGGAAUCGUUCUGAUGUGUUGCAUUACACAAUUGUACUUUGAAACUUGUGCAGUUUUAGAUUCCUGUCACCACAUGCAAUGAAGCUUGCAUGACAGCCAUUUGAGAUUUGACUGUUCUCUUGCUGUAAUUUAGCAAUAGUCGUUACAUUUUUGGUUGGGACAGGAGUAAGGAAGCCAUGUGGUUCACAAUACACGUGUCUACAGAUUGCUCUUUCCCCCACCCAAGUCUUUCCUACCACCUUCCUCCUGCUUGGCCAAGACUGAUUUGCAAUGCCUUCCCCCCCCAGCGAUAAACUUUGGAUUUCAAGGCAGCUGUAACACAGACUUUUAGAUGAAUUACUCAAGGAAGAGACUCUGUCUGGCAGGGUUGCGAACUCCUCACUCAGCCCCUUUAUCAGCGGUUCAAUCAGUGUUGGUUGCCAGGUAAUCUCAUAUAACUCCCCAGCAUGAAAAGCUUCUUGUAUAUCAAGCUGCUGUUAAAGGUAGGUCAAACUGUUUGGUUGGCUGCAGCUGUCCCCUCCCCCCCCCGCCUCCCGCUCAGUUAGCAACCCUCCAGGUAGGGUGGCCAGGUGGAAAAGAAGAGAGAGGUCUCCUGCACCUUUAAUAGUUGCGUAGAAGAGGCAUUUUUCAACAGGGCUUACUUAAACUCCCAUUUUCUACACAACUAUAACACUGGAGAACAAUUUUUUUUUUCAUUUUCUCUUGCAUGAGAUUUUUCAACUGUUCUUAUAUGUUCUUUCAAUGCUGAUUUCAAAUCUGAAAUCAGUUUUCGUGUACAUGGUAUAGUUAUCUUUCAAUUUCUGACUUUUGUUGAUAUGUCAUAUUUACACUGGGGAUAAGUGGACACUGACACGUUGAUCUACCCUAACCACAUGGUAAUUAUGGUUUUGCAAACUUAAUUUUUCUUUAUUUUUAUAGUUUUGUAACCUAAAUAUUUGUAUUUUUCAGAUCGGACCAUGGCUUCUUCAAGUAGACAAAAAUGUGUAAUUUAAUGUGUAAUUUAAUUUAAUUUUAAUUUAAUGUGUAAUUUAAGGUUUAGGAGUCCCCUCUCAUCUUUAAUUUAAGGUGUAUGAGUCCCCUCUCAUCUUUCACCUACAGGACAGCUGAACGGACCUAUUCUCCCUGUUUUCUUCAACUAAUCUCAAUUAUGUUCUAUUUGGGUUUCUCCUUUUUCAUUUUGUAUGUGUUGAAAGUUUUAUGAAUCCCCCUCCGCCUGGGAGUGGAAUCCAGUAAGCCAUUCCCACUGAGCUAUAUUUUGAGUAGAUAGGUACAGGAUUGUGCUGCUAUUUCAAUUAUAUAUCCAUUGUUUUGGUUGCAUUCCUGUCUUUUGCUUCUUUAUAUUUUGUUGAAUUAUCAUCCAGCCUUUCUUCCAAAGAACACCAAAGUACCCUACAUAGUUUUCUUCCCAUGUUAUACCCACAACAUCCCUGUGAGGUAGGUUAUAUCAGGAACUGAUAUAGUUCCUAGCCUAAGGUUGCCCAGUGAGUUUCAUAACUGAGUGGAACUAACUGGGUACUCUUGAUCCAACACUCAAACCUUGCCACUACAAAAUUCUGUAUGCUUUUGUUCAUACAAAAUCUAUUGUCAUAAUUAUAGGCUUGGAAUGUCCAUUCUGAAUUCGUCCCAUUCCGUUUCCCCCCCCCAUUCAAUACAUCUACAGUAAAACCUCUUUGCGGUACAUAUAUAAUACAGGCAAACACUAAUCUGAAAUAAAAAGUCAAAACCAGGACCUCUGUUUCAGAACUGGCACUUCAAUUAAAUAACCACACCUUGAAUACCAUAUGCCAUUCUUGUUUUUAUGUUAAAGAUGAAGGACUGAACAGGAAAGGGUGAAAACCUAGGAGGGAAAAGGGGCAAGGAUCUUCCAUCUUUAUAUGAUCAGUGACUAAAGGGAAAAUAACCCAUUGGAAAAUAUGAUAUAUGUGAGGCUGGCCAUGAAUUAUGUGGAGAAAGGGGCCUAUGUUAUCCUUUUUGUGGGAAGAAAAAGAGUGAACAUCUCAUAUUUGGCAUUUUUAAAAAAUAAAAAAAAAUGUUACAUUCAUGCCCUUUCUUCUAUGGAAAUCAGUGAAACAUACAUAGAGUUCCUAGAUAGUAUAUGCUAUCAGAAAAUGACCAGUCUCAGCCUUGCUUAGCUUCAGAAUGAUAUGAAAAUUGAGAGCCAGUGUGGUGUAGUGGUUAAGAGCGGUAGUCUCCUAAUCUGGGGAACCGGGUUCGCGUCUCCGCUCCUCCACAUGCAGCUGCUGGGUGACCUUGGGCCAGUCACACUUCUCUGAAGUCUCUCAGCCCCACUCACCUCACAGAGUGUUUGUUGUGGGGGAGGAAGGGAAAGGAGAAUGUUAGCCGCUUUGAGACUCCUUAAAGGGAGUGAAAGGCGGGAAAAAAAAAGAAAAAAAAAAAAAAGAAUGAUAUGAAAAUUCAGCCUGUAAUGUUUGAUCUGGGCUAACAUUACGACUCAUUUCACAUGUGCAGGUCACUGUUCCUGAUGUUGCGGUCUGCAAGUGAACUAUGUUUGUAUUUGAGAAGCCCAUAGCUGGUCCAGCAGAGUGAUCUUAGAUGGCUGACUGCUGGUCGUGACUUGGGUGUGACAGAGUAAACAGAUGGUGGCAUCCUUUGUAGGGGACAUUGUCAAAGACUAGUCACUGGGCUGACUGGCUGUUAGUUUGACCUUACCUAGCAAUGGGCAUACAAGUUAGCCUGGGAUUCGCAUCUGAAGGACCAGCUGCUUUAUAAUGAUGAAGCACGUCAUUUAGUUACAGCUGAGCCAAAAUUCCUCAGAAGAAUUUUUUUGUGAGAACAGUUGAUGUGUUUUUUUCCUUUUGCUCACCCUGCUUUGAAACCACUUUGUAGAAUAUCCUCCGAGUAUUUUUCCCACCAGUUUCUCUGGGCUGGCCUCAAUUCCCUUGCCCCCUGGCAAACAACAUGAAAUGACAGUAGACCCAGGGCGUUGUGGAAGCUGCAAAAUGGUAGCCCGGCAGCCGACGCAAUUUCUGCUGCCACUUUCAAUGCUAGCAAAAAACAAAUCUUAUGGCAGGAAUAAUAAAAAAAAUAAUAAUGAAGCUGUGGUAGUGCUUUGCUAAUGGUGAGCCCUCCCCCUUGAGAAACAUUUGGAUCAUUUUUCCUUCCCCUGGUCGGUGAAAUGUCCCCCCCACCCCCAAAUUUCUCUGGCCACAAUUAAGGUGAAGCUUUUCGGGAGUUAGCUGCCUCCCUCUACAGUGGUACCUCAGGUUACAUACGCUUCAGGUUGCAUACGCUUCAGGUUACAGACCAGAAAUAGUACCUCGGGUUAAGAACUUUGCUUCAGGAUGAGAACAGAAAUGUGCUCUGGCGGCGCAGCUGCAGUGGGAGGCCCCAUUAGUGGUGCUUCAGGUUAAGAACAGUUUCAGGUUAAGAACAGACCUCUGGAACGAAUUAAGUACUUAACCCGAGGUACCACUGUAGUUUGGUAGGUGGCUUCGUGCAUAUGGGUGACGAUGACUUACCUAAGAUGUAGGCACAGCUGAGAAACUUAUUGAAGCCGUUUCAGUUUCAACAGCCAGUCAGAUUGUCUGUUAACAAUUAACGUUAUUCUGCAACAAGUGAUAGUAACUGGCUCUGUGUGUGCACAGCUACCACAGUCCCUUUGGAACGAGGCCAAGAGACUGUGGGAGACAUGCAGAUGUGCAGUUCUUUUUGCUCUGGACAAUCUUCGGUUUUCAGUGCAAGGGGUGGCAGCUGGGAAUGUUUUAACCCUUUUAGGUUUGCAGCAGCUUCCCAGCACAGCAAACACAGGGACUUCUCUUAAAUCAUAUCAAUGGGUCCCGGUGUUCGAUCUGAGUUGCAUUUCUGACUUAUCUUUAGGGAAAGACAUUCCAGUGUAUUAACCAGAUGGAUUGCACCAAUGUUCCCUCUGUGCUAAGAAUGUAAAUAGCAGCGCUGGACUCCCAGGGCUACAGUGCCAACUGGAGACAGUUGGACGUUUCAGCAAUAUGCCGUUUGACUGUAACCCUUUCCCCAGCCUGUUCUGACCCCACAGCUGCAAAAGCCUUACCCAAGGGGUUUGAAAUGCAGUUGCGGCCAAGUUAAUAGCAACACAACUUGGGAGCCACCACCUGCCUGUGAAUGGUAUUGCAGAAUAUGGUUGUGUUGCAAUGUAGGAGUGAGGGAGAGCGCCACAGUCCAAAGACGAUCAAGAGGUCACACUUCAUCCCAGGAAACAUUGCACAACACGGCAUGUAGGAAAUUGUGAAACUGUUAAAAAUAGCUCAGUGUUUUCCCCUGUACUAAGAAUAUAAUUAGCUAUGCUGCAUCCCUGGAUUUUUCUAUUUCUAGUUCCUAACUUUUAAAAAGUUGCUCUUACCGCCAGGAGUUGCUGGCACAAGCUCCUUUGAUAUUGGUGCAAGAGCAUAGCUUGUGUCUUCUGGAAGGAAUAUACAGCUCUAAUCAAGGGAUGUGCUUGUAUUCAUGCCAUCAGCGCUGAAAGCCUUCCAUAGGGAAUGGGCCUGAUUAAAAUCCAUCUACAAAGCAGCACCUCUGAGCUGUGAUAAACCAAUUAAUUAAUUGCAUUGAUCAAUGCUUUCAGUCAUAUGGUCAAGUGAUCCAUUCCCCUGGGGUUUGCUUCUAGCUUUUGGCAGUUGCUGUUAUAGGAUGCGAUUACAUUUAAAAUGACAUCUGCACUUAUAAAUUGCAAAUUCAGAUCCAUAUUUUUGAUUCCGUUCUGAAUUUUCAUAUGCGAAUGCAUUGGUUUUUGUUUGUUUCUUUUUACCUGUAGCCCAUCCAAAGUUUUGUGAUGAUGUUAUUCAUUACAUGAUUAUAUGAGAGCCUAGAUUAUUUGAAUACAUGGUGACCUAAUGUUUCCUUUAUUGUAUUAAAAGCUACACAAAUAUUGAAGUACAACAAAGGAAGGAUAAUUUAAAAUUACAAAGUAACACAUGACAAGGGAAUUAAUAACCAAGUGUGAAUGAGGCGCUUAGGUACCCUAAGACUGCUGCAGUUUGCAAUGGGUAUAGAUUCACACUGGAAUAGAUUCACUAAGGCAGAUGCGCUACUCAAAUACUGUUCCUGCAUUUGAACAUUCUUGAAAUGUCAACUAUUGUUAGGUUGCCUACCUUGGCAUUUUUUGCAUGGUGGUUAUAUUGUUUGGAUUUAAGCAUGUCCCUUCCAAAGCCAAAUGUCUCAGAAAAAAAGCUUGUAAUCCUAAACACACUUAGGAAGUUACAGUGCAAUCCUAGCCAUGUCUACUCAGAAGUCGGUCCUAUUGAAUAGUGUUUACACCCUGGCCAUUGAGAUUAGGAUUGAGCUCAGGCUUCUAAACAUGUUUAGAGUUGUACACUGUCAGAGACUGACAACCAGGAAUCAGGCACUGGGAUUGAGGGCGAACAGGAUUUAGUGGCUACUAAAUCCAGAGGAGGAGAGCCUGGCUGUUCUCUUCUUUGCCUAUUUUUUACUGUACCCAUUUUACCACCUGAAAGUAGGAUAGAUUACAAGCUGUUUUUACAGAGAACCUUAGCAGCAGCAAGGAAUUGCCAAGGUGGCAAAGAUUUGCUAAUGCGUUUAUAUUACAAUUAUAGUACAGUCUCAGUGGGCAUAGUCUACAUUCUUAUUUUGUCUGCAAGAGCAUGUUGGUGAUAGAAACUGAACUCUACUGGGCUGGCAGAUACCUACUCAUAGAUUUUAAUUUAAACAGUUUCUCCUUACAUCUUACACCAAACCAUGCAUUCCAGCUUGAUUAUAUGUGCAUUUUUUGUCGUGGUGUUAGGAAAUACUCCAUUUGCAGCUAUGGAAAGCUUUCCCCCCCUUCAUAAAAUAAAAAGUAUAGCCUUGAAUAUUAUUACCAGGCCUGGUUUCAGGAGCUGGCAGGACUUCCAAGACCUGCACAGAUAGCCACUGCCAAUCCCAGGAACUUCCUGGCUUUUUUUGCUCCUUCUCAUUGCUGCCUUGUUCACUUGUCUUCUUUUGGUGAGAGGCAGAGGAGCAAGAAGGGGAGUAACUCACACACUCCAUGUUCUCUGUCUUUCUGUCUGGAAGGUGGAGCUGACUGAGACAACCUCAUGAGCAUAGCAAUGGCUGUGAAGAAGAUGUGAUCCCACUCAGGGAGUGGGGCUCACUGAGAGGGUCUUAACCAAGGUCUGCCUAAGGUCCACCCAAAACCAGAAACUACCACCGAUAUCUGUCUGUCUGUCUGUGUCUGUCUGUCUGUCUCUCUCUCUCUCUCUGUGUGUGUGUGUGUGUGUGUGUGUGUGAGAGAGAGAGAGAGAGAGAGAGAGAGAGAAACCAGUCAGGUGCAUGCCUGCCUUGCUGUCCAAUAACAGGUUUCCGAGCAUCUGCCCCAGAGGCAGUUUAAUAAUUUGUGUGGUCAAGAGCCAGUGUGGUGUAGUGGUUAAGAGCGGUAGACUUGUAAUCUGGGUAACCGGGUUCGCGUCUCCGCUCCUCCCCUUGCAGCUGCUGGGUGACCUUGGGCCAGUCACACUUCCUUGAAGUCUCUCAGCCCCACUCACCUCACAGAGUGUUUGUUGUGGGGGAGGAAGGGAAAGGAGAAUGUUAGCCGCUUUGAGACUCCUUCAGGUAGUGAUAAAGUGGGAUACCAAAUCCAAAAAACUCUUCUUCUCAAGGUGCUGCAAGGCAUGUUGGGAACCCUACAGGGAACCAGGCAGAGGGCCUUCUCGGUAGUGGCGCCCGCCCUGUGGAACGCCCUCCCAUCAGAUGUCAAAGAGAUAAACUACUACCUAGGCAGCCCUGUUCAGGGAAGUUUUUAAUGUGUGACAUUUUAAUGUAUUUUUAAUCUUUGUUGGAAGCCGCCCAGAGUGGCUGGGGAAACCCAGCCAGAUGGGCGGGGGUGUGUGGAAAUAAAUUAUUAUUAUUAUUAUUAGGCCUAAAAAGGCUGCUUCUUGAGUGUUACAUUAACCAGCCCAGCGACCAAGUCUGGUAAGUAGAGUGAGGUCGCAGCAGCUGAUCUUGCAUGUCACCGAAAGGCAGCAGAUUGGCAUUUAAUUUAUUAUGCUGAAUUGUGUUUUUAUUUUUUAUUUUUUACUCCCAGGGAGAAGCAUUUGCAAGAUUUUCUCAGCUGCCAACAUAACAUGGCCUGCCUUGGCUAUGGUGCACCUUCACUUUGGGGAGGGGCAUCGAUCGAUGUUUUGCUUCACGCACCAAAACGUCUUGGUUUAUUAUGUUUAAUAUAGAGUAAGCUAUUUGCUGUAUAAGGCAUGUAAAAUGUGAGUCUCCCCUCUUUCUUAUCAACUGCGACAAAUUAUUAAUGUUUACCCUGACUUGUUGAAAAUAGUGAGAGACACACACAUAUAUCUGGCUUGGUUGUAGAACAGCCUCUCCCCCCUGCCCCCCACCCCUUGCAACAGGUUCCCAAGCCAAACAUUUCCUUCCUGCUCUAGUGGAGAGCACGUCUCUUGUUUCAUCUCAUUAGUGGGAAAAGUCCACCACCGGUGAGCACAGCCGGAACUGGUUGCUAUGGCAACACAUGUUUAUUGAGCUCCUGAGAUAUGAGGUACUAGGCUGGGGAGAGGCACUCUCAAACAUUGUGGGGGGGUGUCGGAGGGCUGCGCUGCGUGGUCUGUGGAGCCAACGGUGUCACUGAAGGAUGUGUGAAGGGGCCGGAGCUAGCCCCAUACCUAGGGCCAUGGGACCCCACACCAUUCGCUGAGGCUGAAAGGGCUGGGAUUUGGUUUCUUCCUGUGUAGGCCCGACAGCGUUCGAAGCAGAUGCGCAUUGCCAGUUACAAUGCAUAUGAUGUUGUGGGGUGUGAGAUGGAAUGCAGCCUCCCCCAACCUGGUGCCCUCCGAAGGGCAUUCGGAUGAAAAUUCCCAUCAGCCCUCACCAGCAUGAUGUUGCUGCCCAGGAUUGAUAUGAGGCUGUGACUUCCUUUUUCACACCGUUGUUCCAGCUGCAGAGACAGGCUUGGAAGGACUGGACAGGACAGGCCGUAGGGGUGCCAACUUGAAUAAUAUAUUGGGAGGGGGCAGGUAAGCUCCGCCCCACAUAAUCUAUCACAUGAUGUGGAGCACACAUUUGAGUGGCAAUGCCCAUCAAUUUUGGCAGGCAGCCCCCUCAAAUAUUUUAUCGGGGUGGGGUUGUGGGGGCUGAUGGGACUUUGACCCCCAGGAAUUGGCUCCUAUGGGACAGGGAGAGCAAUGUCUGGCAAAAUCUUCAGAAGCAGGCUGUAUGCGGUCAGGGCUGUAGAACUCCUAGGGACAGCUUUUGCAACACUAGGCUAGUGCAUGGGGCUCUCAUAUUAAAAGUUUAAAUCAAUGGAUACUUGACAGUAUGAUAAUUAGCCAAAGAUAAGCCUCUUUCAUUUAAACAGAACGCGUGUGCCCUUAACAGCUGCAUAACAGGCUGAAAUACAACAGGUAAACCCCGCAACUGGAGAUGCAGUGAUGGGAAACGUGCGCAGUGUUUGCUGCCUAUUAUACAGCUAUUAAUGACAUAGGGUUUCUUUGCAUGAAAAAGAUACAGAUCUUAAAUAUAAAUUGCAUGAAAGGUCCAAGAGUGGUUGCGGGUGAGUCAGAAUCCUUGGCCAUCUCCUUACAUAUGUUAAAGCUCCCUUUUGAUCUCUUCUCUACUUCUCAGAGUGGUCUGUAAGCCAUCCCUUUGCCCUGCUGUUAAAUAUUCCUUGAUCUUGCAGGGAUCUGCUGCUUCCUGCAGACUGUUCAUAUCUGAAAAUAAUCUUUCUUUCUUCAGGUGACAAGAGAAUCCCAAAUUGCUCGAAAGGCUUUGCAAUGCAUAUACGUUACCAGAAUGUGUAGAACAGAUGGAGCUGAAACAUCAGCUCGUGAGGCCAAGGGCAGGAAUUAGGAAUCAAAGCCCAACCAAGUAUUGGCCGCUAACAAUACAAUCACAGUAGCAGAGUUGGACAAUGCAGCAAGUGGGCUUUCCAAGGAGGUCUGGGAUUGUUCCAGGACGGGAGAGAGGCUUUCAGAUGGCUAUUUUAAGAUGAAUGUAACUGGAGAACAAAGGCACUCUUGAUGGUCCAGAACAUAACAAAAUUGUAGACUGCGAGCAUCCAAGAGUGCAAGACCUUAAAAAAGAAAAGAAAACAAUUCCACCAGAACCUUAUGUUUGUUCUUAAUGAGAGAAAUGACGGGCAGUGUGACAGGUUAUAUUUACUCUCUCCCGCAGAUGUCUGUGUAGGAGAGACAAAGUAAAGAGGGUGGAUUUAUUUAGUGUAUAGUUAAAUGGGGGAUGCGGGUGGCACUGUGGGUUAAACCACAGAGCCUAGGGCUUGCCAAUCAAAAGGUCAGCGGUCCGAAUCCCUGCGACAGGGUGAGCUCCCAUUGCUCGGUCCCUGCUCCUACCAACCUAGCAGUUUGACAGCACACCAAAAAGUGCAAGUAGAUAAAUAGGUACCACUCCGGAGGGAAGGUUAAUGGCAUUUCCGUGCGCUGCUCUGGUUCGCCAGAAGUGGCUUAGUCAUGCUGGCCACAUGACCUGGAAGCUGUACGCCGGCUCCCUUGGCCAAUAAAGCUAGAAGAGCGCCGCAAUCUCAGAGUUGUCCGCGACUGGACCUUAUGGUUAGAGGUCCCUUUACCUUUACCUAAAUGGGAGUAAAAAGCUGCCCUCCCUGCAGUGAUUCUGGAGUUACAGCUAUGUAAAAUGAGGGAAAGGUCUUCCACUCACCUUAGUAAUGUCCCAAAUGGCACCUUUUCCUCCUCUCUCCUAAAGAAGUUGAUGAUAAUGGUUUAUUCUUUUUAAUGUGGUCAUUGAAAGGUACUGCCGCGGUUGAGGUGGUAGUAGAACUUGUCCCAUCCCCUACAACUGAGAUUACCAGAGUGUUGUAGGGCAGGUGCAAGUUUUGCCCAGAGCUCAGUUAUUUCCACAGCUCCAGCCCUAUAUGCAUCUCCCAUAGAAGUCCAGCAGUGCAGAACCAGUGAAUUUGGACACUGGAGUGAGCGAGGAAUAGAACAAAACUGUUCUUCCUUGUUCCUUAUUCAUUCUCGUUAUCUCCUUUCUGGGCACCUUCACUGUGGCAUAUGCAUGCUGAAAGCAGUCCAGGUAGACAGCCAAAUGUGCUCAGAGGCACAGAGGUCUGUUGGUCACAAUGCAUGCUUUUCAGAAGGUGCCCUAUCAGAAUUCCAGUGUGACCAGUGGACAGAAGCUUUGAACGGGGAUUUUUGAAAUAUGAUUGGUCAUGCCUUCAAAGUGUCAAAACUAAAAGACAAGCUCAGAUUUUUGCAUAAGCUAGAAAACCUCAAGAAAAGAAGGUAAAUGAGCAGGUCCUCCUUUAACAAUAUAAUUCCAGUAGAAAUGAUGACUGCAGUGCCUGGAAAUAAGAUUGUGUAUCCACAGCAGUAACUGGAGGAGGAAUGUCCAGUGGGAGGAGUGUAGAGAGAAGAAACGCCAUGGUGCACCUCAUCUGCCCACCUGCAAUGACUUCAUCUGCCCACCUGCAACAAAACAUGUUUCUUCAGCCACAGAAGGCACUGUAACUCUCCAACUUUGCACUUUUCAUCGUCCCC